rnacentral:rRNA from 1 species
UACGUAGGGUGCGAGCGUUAAUCGGAAUUACUGGGCGUAAAGCGUGCGCAGGCGGUUCUCCAAGUCCGUUGUGAAAGCCCCGGGCUCAACCUGGGAAUGGCAGUGGAAACUAGGGGACUUGAAUCUGGCAGAGGCGAGUGGAAUUCCCGGUGUAGCGGUGAAAUGCGCAGAUAUCGGGAGGAACACCUAUGGCGAAGGCAGCUCGCUGGGACGUUACUGACGCUGAGGCACGAAGGCCAGGGGAGCAAACGGG